rnacentral:rRNA from 1 species
GGAAACGGUAGCUAAUACCGCAUAAUGUCGCAAGACCAAAGUGGGGGACCUUCGGGCCUCAUGCCAUCAGAUGUGCCCAGAUGGGAUUAGCUAGUAGGUGGGGUAACGGCUCACCUAGGCGACGAUCCCUAGCUGGUCUGAGAGGAUGACCAGCCACACUGGAACUGAGACACGGUCCAGACUCCUACGGGAGGCAGCAGUGGGGAAUAUUGCACAAUGGGCGCAAGCCUGAUGCAGCCAUGCCGCGUGUGUGAAGAAGGCCUUCGGGUUGUAAAGCACUUUCAGCGGGGAGGAAGGCGGUGAGGUUAAUAACCUUGGCGAUUGACGUUACCCGCACAACAAGCACCGGCUAACUCCGUGCCAGCAGCCGCGGUAAUACGGAGGGUGCAAGCGUUAAUCGGAAUUACUGGGCGUAAAGCGCACGCAGGCGGUCUGUCAAGUCGGAUGUGAAAUCCCCGGGCUCAACCUGGGAACUGCAUUCGAGACUGGCAGGCUAGAGUCUUGUAGAGGGGGGUAGAAUUCCAGGUGUAGCGGUGAAAUGCGUAGAGAUCUGGAGGAAUACCGGUGGCGAAUGCUGCCCCCUGCACAACGACUGAUCCUCACGUGCGAAAGCGCGUUGAGCAAACAGGAUCAGACACCCCCCGUAG